rnacentral:rRNA from 1 species
AUUGAACGCUGGCGGCAUGCCUAACACAUGCAAGUCGAACGGAGAUAGGGGCAACCUUAUUUCAGUGGCGGACGGGUGAGGAAUGCGUCGGAAUCUGCCCUAUGGUGGGGGAUAACACAGGGAAACUUGUGCUAAUACCGCAUAAUGUCGAGAGACCAAAGCAGGGGACCGCAAGGCCUUGCGCGAUAGGAUGAGCCGACGCCCGAUUAGCUUGUUGGUAGGGUAAUGGCCUACCAAGGCGACGAUCGGUAGCUGGUCUGAGAGGAUGAUCAGCCACACUGGGGCUGAGACACGGCCCAGACUCCUACGGGAGGCAGCAGUGAGGAAUAUUGGUCAAUGGGCGGGAGCCUGAACCAGCCAAGUCGCGUGAAGGAAGAAGGAUCUAUGGUUCGUAAACUUCUCUUGCAGGGGAAUAAAGUGCAGGACGUGUCCUGUUUUGUAUGUACCCUGAGAAUAAGGAUCGGCUAACUCCGUGCCAGCAGCCGACGG